CAGAUAAUAAUUUAAUGAAAAUAACAAUUUUGGAGAUUGUCUUUAAGAUAAUGUUUCUUUUAUCUGA
rnacentral:tRNA from 1 species